rnacentral:hammerhead_ribozyme from 1 species
AUCCAAUUGACGAGUCCCAAAUAGGAUGAAACACGCGUCCUGGAU